CCUACGGGUGGCAGCAGUAGGGAAUUUUGCGCAAUGGGGGAAACCCUGACGCAGCAACACCGCGUGAAUGUUAAGCCCUUCGGGGUGUAAAGUUCUGUCAAUAGGGACGAAUUUUGACUGUACCUAUAAAGGAAGCACCGGCUAACUCCGUGCCAGCAGCCGCGGUAAUACGGGGGGUGCAAGCGUUGUCCGGAAUCAUUGGGCGUAAAGCGUUCGUAGGCGGUAUGUCAAGUCUGAUGUUAAAGCCCGGGGCUCAACUCCGGUUCGGCAUUGGAUACUGGCAAACUAGAAUGUGGUAGAGGUAAAGGGAAUUCCUGGUGUAGCGGUGAAAUGCUUAGAUAUCACGAAGAACCCCGAUUGCGAAGGCAGCUUACUAAACUGUGACUGACAUUGAUGCUCGAAAGUGUGGGUAUCAAACAGGAUUAGAUACCCGGGUAGUC
rnacentral:rRNA from 1 species